rnacentral:lncRNA from 1 species
UAGGGCAAUUGUUCUUAUAUUAUCUGGAAUAUUUAGAAACAAUCGAUUUUUCUCCCAGUAGGGAGGCUCUGCCUGAUCCCUAGGGAAUAAGCAUCAAACAGAAACAUGGGUUAGCAGCUAUAGGCAUCCUUCCUACUAAGAGAAGGUUCAAUACCUUCCCUUUUUUUUUCUCCUUAAAUAUCAUCUCUUUUAAGUAUGCUGGUAAGAUUGAGGUCCCUGUGACACUAUAGAGAUAGGUUUUGUUUGUUUGUUUGUUUAAGCUGUCUUUCCUCAUUGUACCAUUUGGAAAAAAAAUUUAUGUGCAACAGUGAGAGGAACUUACAGGAAACCCACAGAGAAGAUUCCAAACAGCUGUACUAUAAAGUGGGAAUGACACGCCCAUAAGAUACCAUGUGGAGUCCUGUUGAUACCCAUAUCCUAACACAAGCUGACCUUCCUGAGCCUGUGUCCGAGGCAGGGUUUACCUAGAAAUUUCCUCAAGACUUUGUCAAAGUCAGAACACUUCACUUUUCAGACACUGUAAAAAUCCCAUGUUGUCUUUGGAGACACAGCAUCAUUUUCUAGAUAUUUUGCUGUAAUUUCUCUCUGGUAUCCUACAGAAGUGUGCACUAGAUGAGUUUGGCAAUGCCUUGUAUGGGACAUCCAUAUGUGAGUUGCCUUAGAAAUUGAUAUUUUAAAAUUUUUCACCAUUUAUUGUCUUUGUACAGCAUUAUAUCAGAACUUGCCAAGAUGAUAACUCAUAUACUUGCUUUUAUCAGGAGAAUAUGAUAUUUGUGGUUAAUUCUACAAUAUGGGAAUCUUCAUAAUUACUCAGAGUGUUAGGCAGUCCCUUCCCAUAGAGUACUAGUAAUGGACAGAAUUCAAUGUGUUUAGCAAUGUUUUUUGUGGGUAUUGGCUGACUACAGAAAAACUGACCUUAGAAUUUUACAACAGAGCAGCAUAGGGUGUCAUAGCCAAAUCCAUUAGCACAAUACCUCCUGAUCAUGAAAAAUUCAGGCAACUUUAUGAAAAUAUGGUUAUCUUGAUGUCAGUGGGCCAUAAUAGUGGUCAGUCUUAGGGAACUUUUCAACCAAAUAUAACUCAAAGUCAAACAAAAGCAGCAUAAUAGUAUCAACUUGAUAUUAAGUAAGACAAAAAUCAUUAAAAUCAAAUCUUAGGAUUAUGGUUUUAAAAUAAUGAAUUUUCCAUCUCUGGGUAACAUGUCCAUAUUAUUCCAAGGAAACAUUUAAGGGCUAUUUUGAUUUUAAAGGCUUACUGCCAUGGGCAUGUACAGAGGCUGGGUAGAAUGGUUGCUUAUGAAGCAGGGGCUACACACAGCAAACUGCCCCGUAGAGUCCUGGUCACCAUUUUUGUCUCAGCUUUGUUUUGAUAUGACCAAAUGGCAGUAUUUCUCUCUCUAUUUUUUAAGGAGAAAAACUCAGAAUGCAGUAUGAUUUACUUGGUAAUUGCAAGCAGAAUGAAUGCUUUAAGUGUUAUGCUCACUCUCUCUUUCCCAAAGACAAUAAACCCUCCUCAGAAUUAGUCUCGUUGUCAUUUGUACUGCCAAAUAGUCAAUAGAUGAAUGCAAUAAACUUUCCCAUUAAGA